CGGAGGGUGCGAGCGUUGUCCGGAAUCACUGGGCGUAAAGGGCGCGUAGGCGGCCUGAUAAGUAGGGGGUGAAAUCCUGCGGCUUAACCGCAGGGCUGCCUUCUAAACUGUCGGGCUCGAGCACAGUAGAGGCAGGUGGAAUUCCCGGUGUAGCGGUGGAAUGCGUAGAGAUCGGGAAGAACAACAGUGGCGAAGGCGGCCUGCUGGGCUGUUGCUGACGCUGAGGCGCGACAGCGUGGGGAGCAAACAGGAUUAGAUACCCUGGUAGUCCACGCCGUAAACGAUGGGCACUAGGCGUCGGGGGGAGCGACCCUCCCGGUGCCGUCGCUAACGCAGUAAGUGCCCCGCCUGGGGAGUACGGCCGCAAGGCUG
rnacentral:rRNA from 1 species